GGGGGCGUACUGGUUUCGACGGGGUCGUUGAGACUGGAGAAGCGGGUAGAGGAUCCUCGUUGGCCUCUCUAAAAAACGGGGACUUUUAUAAUUGCCAAUAAACCGGCACUCGCAGCUGCCUAAAACAGUUGCCGUCAGCCCAUCCGAUCUGCUGGAUGGAUCACUGGCGUCAGAGAGCAGACCUUACCUGUCGGUAGGUUAAACAGGAAAACGGAUCAGGUUGAGCCUGGCACCUGGUUCGUACAACAGGCUACCGGACCGUAACUGCCUGUCAGCGGACAGAGCGGAAGGGGAAUACUCUAAUCGUUGACUGCACCCGGAGAUGCUCCAGAGGAUAGGGUUUCGGACAGGGGUUCAACUCCCCUCGCCUCCACCA
rnacentral:tmRNA from 1 species